UCCCUGAUGGAUAGCUCCACUAUAGUAGAGCAUGAGACUCUUAAUCUCUGGGUUGUGGGUUCAAGCCCCAUGUUGGGUGAA